rnacentral:rRNA from 1 species
AGAUUGAACGCUGGCGGCAGGCCUAACACAUGCAAGUCGAGCGGUAGAGAGGUGCUUGCAUCUCUUGAGAGCGGCGGACGGGUGAGUAAUGCCUAGGAAUCUGCCUAGUGGUGGGGGAUAACGUUCGGAAACGGACGCUAAUACCGCAUACGUCCUACGGGAGAAAGCGGGGGACCUUCGGGCCUCGCGCCAUUAGAUGAGCCUAGGUCGGAUUAGCUAGUUGGCGAGGUAAUGGCUCACCGAAGGCGACGAC